rnacentral:rRNA from 1 species
GACUGUCUCAUUUUAUUUGAAAAUUUAAUUUUUUAGUCAAAAAGCUAAAAUAGAAUUGGUAGACGAGAAGACCCUAUAGAUCUUCAUAUGUAUUUUGUUGGGGUGACGAAAAUAUUUUUUAUUUACUUAACAUUGAUUUAUGAAUAUUAGAUCCAUUAUUAUUGAUUGCUAGACUAAGUUACCUUAGGGAUAACAGCGUAAUCCUCUUCCAGAGUUCAUAUUUACUUGCGACCUCGAUGUUGGAUUAAGAUAAUAGUUAGGUGUAGCCGCUUAACAUAUAGGUCUGUUCGACCUUUAAAUUCUUACAUGAUCUGA